UACAGAGGUCUUAAGCGUUGUUCGGAUUCAUUGGGCGUAAAGGGUGCGUAGGCGGCCUGUGCAAGUCAGUUGUGAAAUCUCCGAGCUUAACUCGGAACGGUCAACUGAUACUGCUCGGCUAGAGUGCGGAAGGGGCAACUGGAAUUCUUGGUGCAGCGGUGAAAUGCGUAGAUAUCAAGAGGAACACCUGCGGCGAAGGCGGGUUGCUGGGCCGACACUGACGCUGAUGCGCGAAAGCUAGGGGAGCGAACAGG
rnacentral:rRNA from 1 species